rnacentral:misc_RNA from 1 species
GUCAACAAAUGCCAAUAUUUGAAAUCCUUCUCUGAAGUGGAGAAGUAUGAUAUGUGCAUUGUUUGAGUUCAAUCUCAUAAAACUAAGAGCCAAAUGGCCAGUUCGUUUAGCCUUUUGUUUAAUACCCCUAUGGCUUUUAAAUAAAUCUUAAUGUGCUUGAGAAGUGACAUCAUGUUAUUUGCCAAAUCAGUGUGCUUUCUUUUCAUUAUGAGUGCUGUGCAUAGCUUCUUUUAAGAGUAUGAAAUAAACUGUAGAUGUUAACUAUCUCCUGUGAAAUAUUAUAAUUUAAGAGCCGUCGAUUUUUACAUGGUUUCACAUAUAUGAUGCAUGCUUGUGCUGUACAUAAUUUAUUUCGCGUCUUCCUUCACAACUGGGGACAUAUAUUAAUGGCAGUACUAGGACUAAGUCUGUGUGAACUGCAGAUUAUUUUGAGUCAUGAACAUGCUGAUGCAGUUCUUGGUCUUGAUGACAUAUGUGCUGUACUACCAUUUAGUUCUACAAAUAAUAUUGAUCCAAUCCCCAUUUACCUAAGUCAGUUUACCAUGGACAGGUAAGUUUGCUAUUCCUGCUCAGCUGCAAGCAUGCAUCUUUUCAUCAAGUUCAUUUGUCAUUGUUUGUUCAUCUUUUGUUUUUAGGACACAUAUUUUUCAUUGAAAAUAUAUGUGAUGCUUUGGUAUGUCAAUGUUUAUUUGUUCUUUGUGAUGAAAUCUGCAUUUAUGAAACUAGAGUGAAAAUUUAGUUGUUAACAAAAUGUUUCUAGUUUAUUAUCAAACUAAAAUCCCUACAAUGUGAUUAUGUAAUGUAUGUUGGUUUCAAAGAUGAUCAUUUGAAGUAGUCUUCCGUUAAAUGACCUACAGUAAUAAUAUAAAGGUUGAGAAACUUGAAAGGUUGAAUAUCUAAAAUAACCUCUAAGUAAAAAAUCAUAACCAUUGGUUUGAUCCUUUUGUUUAAGUAAAAAAUCAUAACCAUUGGUUUGAUCCUUUUGUUUUCUUGUUUUUUAAGGACUAAUUAAAUUUAGUGAGAAAAAUGGAGCAUGCUAAAGCCAUCCUCAUUCCAAGAUACUUUACUUUCCAUUGGAAGUGGAAAUAUUGUUAUCCUUAAUAACCCAUGCUAAAGUUUGAAAGUUGACAUGCCAAAUUAACUUAAAACAUUAUUUUCAUGUCUGUCUUUGUUUUACCUUGGAAACAGCAUUGCUUUGAGAUUUCCAUACUUGAUAAAGAAAAAUUUAAGGGAAAGCCAGAAAAUAAGACAAGUGGCAGCACAGCUGGAUUGGAAUAUUAUUGAGGAAGACUGUCAGAGACCAUUUGUUGCAUCAGGAGUAAAAUUUGUUCCUCUGCCAGUGAUGCAUGGAGAAGACUAUAUUUGCUUGGGAUUUCUCUUUGGUGAAAAAAGCCAAGUAGCUUAUAUAUCUGAUGUUUCACGUUUUCCUGCAGGCACGGAAUAUGUAAUUUCAAAAUCAGGGGCUGGGCAGUUGGAUCUUCUUAUCUUGGAUGCUUCGCGAAAGUAUGGACUCCCUGGUGCUCACUUUUCCUUACCUGAGAGCCUUGAAGCUGUGAAGAGACUAUGUCCAAAGCAAGCUCUUUUUAUUGGGAUGGGUCAUGAGCUUGAUCAUUACAAAGACAAUGACUUUUUAGCAGAAUGGUCUAAGAGGGAAGGAAUACCAGUGCAGCUUGCACAUGAUGGCUUGAGAGUUCCUAUAGACAUAUGAUAAGGUUUGAACUCAUAGUUAUCAUAACAUUUGCAUUGUGGAUUGAAAUUCUGAUGUUAGGAAUUGAUGGAUAUAAAUUUAGCAGGGUCUUGAGUCAUUUACAAAAUUGAUGUGUAUAGGUAAUAUGUGUUUAUAUUCCCAUUCUUUUCUAGUAUGCCUUUGGUAAUUUGUUCUCACUUUCAGUCUUACUCAUCAAAUUAGAACUUCUGUUUCCUUGAGAUAUAGUGUUUUUGUUCUCAAUAAAAUAGCAAUUAGCAAAAAUUUUCUCUUGCGUGCUCUACAAAAUAUCUAUGAAACAAAUGUAAACCAGAAUUAGAGUAGUAACAAGCCCAUCGUCACCUAUUAAUCAAUUCUAGUUGUCCUCUUUUUGCUUGGAGAGAAAGGAAGACAAAGAAGUGAAAGAAAAAGAACAUUGGAAGAAAAGAAAAAAGAAAGAGAAGAACAGGGCUGUUAAAAGAACAAGAAAUGUUUGGGGAGGAAGAGCAAUUAAAAUAGAAAGUGUUACUACUAAGAAAACAACAGAGGAAAAUUAUUUUCCUAGUUUGUUAUUUGAGUCAUGAGAAUAUCAAAAUUGAAUCAAAUUGUAAAAUUUGAAUCACGAAACGUAGAUUUACCUAUGUUUUUAUUUAAUUUCAGUUCAAAUGCUUAAUUGGAAUCCUUGAGAUACUAAAUUGAAUCAAAUUAUAAUAUUUGAAUUUUGAAAGGAAUGAUUUGAAGUUGAACUCAAAAAUCACUUCCGCAUAGUUGGUGCCUUGAGCUCUUUUAUUGAGUUAAUAUUAGCAAUGACUGUUAAAGUAGAGGGAGAGGUAAAAUAUUGAAAUUAAAAAUUUGCUGCCUUAUCUACUUAAGUUGUUGGGCUGAGAAAUGAAAUAUGGAUGAUCACCAUGCACAUAAUUAAUAGUUUCCUUCCCAUUCUGAUGGAAGGUACAAACAUGAUGAAUUAUUUGUCACUUCAACUCAUAUUUGAAUAGUUGAGAUAAUUUUUUUACGAGAAGUGCAGGAUAGAGAUUGUUGAUAUAAAACUUGUCUUGUACUGAUGUCUGUCUUAACAUAGUAUGUUAAUUAAAACAGCAAUUACUAGCUGGAAAUAUUUACAUUUUCUCACAUAUCUUAUCCAUCAUAAAUGUGCAGAUGAUUGGUACCUGUCACUGACAUGAUAUGUGUUGCAUUACUUUGUUUUGCUCCACCCAAAAAUUUAUCUUGGUCUCUUGGGGCAGGUUCCAACUCUCAAAGAUUUAAGACACAACCAUCUGUCAAGUAUGCAAUUUUGAAAUGCCCAACGCAAUAGAAUAUUGUUGUGGACAUGCUCUAGCUUUGACUGUUGGUAAAGCUGCUUUGUAUAUGCUAUCAGAGGAUUCAGAACAUUGUAUUUAAUGAACAUAUACAUGAUGGUAACACUAAAGCUCCGACUUAGCUAAAUUUAUUUUAAAUUAUUUAAGCUGUUCUUUCUAUCGAAGGGGGGAUUACUAUUAGGGUUAAGGACAAGCUCUGGUUUUUGAUAGAAAAGGG